rnacentral:rRNA from 1 species
GAUGAACGCUGGCGGCGUGCCUAAUACAUGCAAGUCGAGCGAACGGACGAGAAGCUUGCUUCUCUGAUGUUAGCGGCGGACGGGUGAGUAACACGUGGAUAACCUACCUAUAAGACUGGGAUAACUUCGGGAAACCGGAGCUAAUACCGUAUGAUAUUUUGAACCGCAUGGUUCAAAAGUGAAAGACGGUCUUGCUGUCACUUAUAGAUGGAUCCGCGCUGCAUUAGCUAGUUGGUAAGGUAACGGCUUACCAAGGCAACGAUGCGUAGCCGACCUGAGAGAGGGAUAGGCCACCCUGGAACUGAGCCGCGGUCCAGACUCCUACGGGAGGCAGCAGUAGGGAAUCUUCCGCAAUGGGCGAAAGCCUGACGGAGCAACGCCGCGUGAGUGAUGAAGGUCUUCGGAUCGUAAAACCCUGUUAUUAGGGAAGAACAUCUGUGUCAGUAACCGUGCACAUCUUGACGGUACCUAAUCAGAAAGCCACGGCUAACUACGUG